rnacentral:lncRNA from 1 species
CUCAUACAUAAGUAUACACCAAAAUCGUCAGAUAUUUUCUACUUGUAUGUCAGUGUAUAUAUGACAAUGUUUUCCUAUUUCAUGAUUUUUUUUCAGUGUCAUCUUUUGUUUUACAUUGUUUACCAGUUAAAGGUCGUAUUCAUUUAAAGAGCUAUUGUCCAUUAGUAGCACUUCAACGCAAAGCUAUAUGCAUGAUAAAUGUUAGUUUA